rnacentral:rRNA from 1 species
UACGUAGGGCGCAAGCGUUGUCCGGAAUUAUUGGGCGUAAAGAGCUCGUAGGCGGCUUGUCACGCCGGGUGUGAAAGCCCGGGGCUUAACCCCGGGUCUGCAUUCGAUACGGGCUAGCUAGAGUGUGGUAGGGGAGAUCGGAAUUCCUGGUGUAGCGGUGAAAUGCGCAGAUAUCAGGAGGAACACCGGUGGCGAAGGCGGAUCUCUGGGCCAUUACUGACGCUGAGGAGCGAAAGCGUGGGGAGCAAACAGG